rnacentral:lncRNA from 1 species
CUGGUUUAGGCACGGGAACAAUGUUGGAUAUCCACUCCAGAUAUGUUGACACCAUGAUGAUGCCAGCCUGAAAUUGUUUCACAAUUUCUUCUUUAACCUUUAAACUCCAUUCAGGUUUCAAUCGCCUGAGCUUUUGCCUAACUGGCUUGAAUCCUUCUUUAAUAGGAAGGCAAUGAAGAACAAUGUCAGUGGACAAACCCACCAUGUCUUCAUGAGACCAUGCAAACACAUCCUGGAAUUGGGUUAAUAGUGCAACCAUGUCAUUCCGCUGAUUUGUGGUAAGGUCUGAACCAAUUUGGAUUAGCUUAGGGUUACCUAAGGUUCCAAGAUUGAAAGAAGUGGUUUAAUCAAG